AUUGAACGCUGGCGGCAUGCCUUACACAUGCAAGUCGAACGGCAGCACGGGUGCUUGCACCUGGUGGCGAGUGGCGAACGGGUGAGUAAUACAUCGGAACGUACCUUAUCGUGGGGGAUAACGCAGCGAAAGUUGCGCUAAUACCGCAUACGCCCUGAGGGGGAAAGCGGGGGACCGUAAGGCCUCGCGCGAUUAGAGCGGCCGAUGUCUGAUUAGCUUGUUGGUGAGGUAAAAGCUCACCAAGGCGAUGAUCAGUAGCUGGUCUGAGAGGACGAUCAGCCACACUGAGACUGGGACACGGCACAGACACCUACGGGAGGCAUCAGUGGGGAAUUUUGGACAAUGGGGGCAACCUUGAUCCAGCAAUGCCGCGUGAGUGACGAAGGCCUUCGCGUUGUAAAGCUCUUUUGUCAGGGAAGAAACAGCAGCUCUAACACAGUCUGCGAAUGACGGUACCUGAAGAAUAAGCACCGGCUAACUACGUGCCAGCCGCCGCCGUAA
rnacentral:rRNA from 1 species